GACGAACGCUGGCGGCGUGCUUAACACAUGCAAGUCGAACGGAAAGGCCCUGCUUUUGUGGGGUGCUCGAGUGGCGAACGGGUGAGUAACACGUGAGUAACCUGCCCUUGACUUUGGGAUAACUUCAGGAAACUGGGGCUAAUACCGGGUAGGAGCUCCUGCUGCAUGGUGGGGGUUGGAAAGUUUCGGCGGUUGGGGAUGGACUCGCGGCUUAUCAGCUUGUUGGUGGGGUAGUGGCCUACCAAGGCUUUGACGGGUAGCCGGCCUGAGAGGGUGACCGGCCACAUUGGGACUGAGAUACGGCCCAGACUCCUACGGGAGGCAGCAGUGGGGAAUAUUGCACAAUGGGCGGAAGCCUGAUGCAGCAACGCCGCGUGCGGGAUGACGGCCUUCGGGUUGUAAACCGCUUUCGCCUGUGACGAAGCGUGAGUGACGGUAAUGGGUAAAGAAGCACCGGCUAACUACGUG
rnacentral:rRNA from 1 species